CCUUAAAGAACCUGCCUUUGCAGUGCUCACACAGAUUGUCUGAUGAACGUAAAGAAGCAAGGCGUCUUGCGAUUGAGACUUCAGUGUCCCCUUCGUCUAGAGGCCCAGGACACCGCCCUUUCACGGCGGUAACAGGGGUUCGAAUCCCCUAGGGACGCCACUUGCUGGUUCGUGAGUGAAAGACGCGUGCCGAACUAUCUCAAAACUCAUCUUCGGGUGACGUUUGAGAUAUUUGCUCUUUAAAAAUCUGGAUCAAGCUGAAAAUUGAAACGACACACAGUCAAUGUGUGUUCGAGUCUCUCAAAUUUUCGCAAUCAGAAGUGAAACAUCUUCGGGUUGUGA
rnacentral:misc_RNA from 1 species